GACCCGUGGCAAGCGUUGUUCGGAUUUACUGGGCGUACAGGGAGCGUAGGCGGUUGGGUAAGCCCUCCGUGAAAUCUCCGGGCCUAACCCGGAAAGGGCGGAGGGGACUGCUCGGCUAGAGGAUGGGAGAGGAGCGCGGAAUUCCCGGUGUAGCGGUGAAAUGCGUAGAGAUCGGGAGGAAGGCCGGUGGCGAAGGCGGCGCUCUGGAACAUUUCUGACGCUGAGGCUCGAAAGCGUGGGGAGCAAACAGGAUUAGAUACCCUGGUAGUCCACGCCUUAAACGAUGGAUACUAAGUGUCGGCGGGUUACCGCCGGUGCCGCAGCUAACGCAGUAAGUAUCCCGCCUGGGAAGUACGGCCGCAAGGUUG
rnacentral:rRNA from 1 species